UCUCCGUUGGUGAACCAGCGGAGGGAUCAUUGCUGGAACAAACGCCCUCGCGGGCGCUACCCAGAAACCCUUUGUGAACAUAUAUACCCUAUAAGUUGCCUCGGCACUGGUUGCUUCUCGCUAGCAGGAGCCCUGUAGACAAGCGCCUAGCGCCUGUACGCAGGAGCCAACCGGCCGACGGCCCCUAUACCAAACUCUUGUUUUUGUAAAAUCCUCUGAGUAACAAACAACUAAAUGAAUCAAAACUUUCAACAACGGAUCUCUUGGUUCUGGCAUCGAUGAAGAACGCAGC
rnacentral:misc_RNA from 1 species